AUUGAACGCUGGCGGCAGGCCUAACACAUGCAAGUCGAGCGAGCGGCGGACGGGUGAGUAAUGUCUGGGAAACUGCCUGAUGGAGGGGGAUAACUACUGGAAACGGUAGCUAAUACCGCAUACCAUCAGAUGUGCCCAGAUGGGAUUAGCUAGUUGGUGGGGGAAUGGCUCACCUAGGCGACGAUGCGUAGCUGGUCUGAGAGGAUGACCAGCCACACUGGAACUGAGACACGGUCCAGACUCCGACGGGAGGCAGCAGUGGGGAAUAUUGCACAAUGGGCGCAAGCCUGAUGCAGCCAUGCCGCGUGUGUGAAGAAGGCCUUCGGGUUGUAAAGCACUUUCGGCAGGGAGGCGUUACCCGCAGAAGAAGCACCGGCUAACUCCGUGCCAGCAGCCGCGGUAAUUC
rnacentral:rRNA from 1 species